CGGGGGAGCACCACAAGGGGUGAAGCCUGCGGUUCAAUUGGAGUCAACGCCGGGAACCUUACCAGGAGAGACAGCAGGGUGAAGGUCAGGUUGAAGUCCUUACCAGACGAGCUGAGAGGAGGUGCAUGGCCGUCGUCAGCUCGUGCCGUGAGGCGUCCUGUUAAGUCAGGCAACGAGCGAGACCCCUACUACUAAUUGCUAUCAUCAUUCGUCAGGAUGGCGUGGCUAGUUAGUAGGACUGCCGUCGCUAAGACGGAGGAAGGCGGGGGCCACGGCAGGUCAGUAUGCCCCGAAACUCUUGGGCUACACGCGAGCUGCAAUGGUAGAAACAAUAAGUUCCGACCUCGAAAGUGGGAGGCAAUCUCUAAAUUCUACCUCAGUUGAGAUUGAGGGCUGCAACUCGCCCUCAUGAAUCUGGAAUCCCUAGUAAUCGCGUGUCAUCAUCGCGCGGUGAAUACGUCCCUGCUCCUUGCACACACCGCCCGUCGCUUCACCCGAGUUGGGUUUGGACGAGGUAAUGCCUCAUUGACAUUAUCGAAUCCAGUCUCGACAAGGGGGGAGAAGUCGUAACAAGGUGGCCGUAGGGGAACCUGUGGCCG
rnacentral:rRNA from 1 species